rnacentral:rRNA from 1 species
AGGACGAACGCUGGCGGCGCGCCUAACACAUGCAAGUCGAGCGAGAACCAGGGCUUGCCCUGGGGACAGCGGCGAACGGGUGCGUAACACGUGAGCAACCUGCCCCAAAGACCGGGACAACCCGAGGAAACUCGGACUAAUACCGGAUGCCCUCACCGGGUCGCAUGGUCUGGUGAGGAAAUGGAUUCCGCUUUGGGAUGGGCUCGCGGUCUAUCAGCUUGUUGGUGGGGUAACGGCCUACCAAGGCGACGACGGAUAGCUGGUCUGAGAGGACGAUCAGCCACACUGGGACUGAGACACGGCCCAGACUCCUACGGGAGGCAGCAGUGGGGAAUCUUGCGCAAUGGGGGAAACCCUGACGCAGCGACGCCGCGUGCGGGAUGAAGGCCUUCGGGUUGUAAACCGCUUUCAGCAGGGACGAAUUGACGGUACCUGCAGAAGAAGGCCCGGCAACUACGUGCCAGCAGCCGC